rnacentral:RNase_P_RNA from 1 species
ACAGCAGGCCGCCUUAUCGUUCUAAGUUCAUCUUGGGAAGGAAAGUCCGGGCACCUUAGGGAAGCAUAGCGGCUAACGGCCGUCCUUCUUAAAUAACAAUUUUCGAAGAGGACUAGUGCAACAGAAAGUAUGUACAGGUAAUGCUGUAGUGAAAUCCGGUAAACUCUAUGCGGUGAAAUGCCACGUAAACUAGCGCUUGAGAGUUCCCGCUCGAUGCUAGAGGGUAGGCAGAUAGAAUAAGAAGGCAACUUCUUGUCCAGAUAAAUGAUAAGGUCCCGAAUUAGUUCGGGAACAGAACCCGGCUUAUAGGCCUGCUUUUUUU